CCGAUGAAGGCCUUCGGGUUGUAAACUGCUUUUGUACGGAGCGAAAAGGCUCUCUCUAAUAAAGGGGGCUCAUGACGGUACCGUAAGAAUAAGCACCGGCUAACUACGUGCCAGCAGCCGCGGUAAUACGUAGGGUGCAAGCGUUAAUCGGAAUUACUGGGCGUAAAGCGUGCGCAGGCGGUUAUGUAAGACAGAUGUGAAAUCCCCGGGCUCAACCUGGGACCUGCAUUUGUGACUGCAUAGCUAGAGUGCGGCAGAGGGGGAUGGAAUUCCGCGUGUAGCAGUGAAAUGCGUAGAUAUGCGGAGGAACACCGAUGGCAAAGGCAAUCCCCUGGGCCUGCACUGACGCUCAUGCACGAAAGCGUGGGGAGCAAACAGGAUUAGAUACCCUGGUAGUCCACGCCCUAAACGAUGUCAACUGGUUGUUGGGUCUUCACUGACUCAGUAACGAAGCUAACGCGUGAAGUUGACCGCCUGGGGAGUACGGCCGCAAGGUUGAAACUCAAAUGAAUUGACGGGAACUCAAAGGAAUUGACGGAAAC
rnacentral:rRNA from 1 species